UUAGCAUGGGCGGAUCCAUAAAAUGUUCAAAGCGGAUGUCACGUUUGAUGGUAUUAUUUCCUACCCAAAGAAGGAGUUUAUUUACGAUAUGGAGUGUUGUGCUAUCUAUCGUAUAUUUUCUGAAAUUAAUAAAUUGCUGUUGAUGCGUGCAUCAAUUCAAUUAUUGUUCUCAUUAAUUCAAUUAACAUGGGCCUAAAAUCAAAUAUUGCUCUCUUCAAUUGAAUUAAUGCGCUCAUAAAAUCAAGUAUUACUUUCAUCAAUUCAAUUGAUGCCCGCAUUAAUUCAAUUAUUGCGUGCAACAGUUCAACUGAUGAGAGCAGUAAUUGAUCUGAUGACUUCAUUUUCUUAGACUAUUUGAAGAUGUUACUAUUUCCAUUAUUGCGUGCAUCAAAUGAAUGGGUGAUAUCUUCUAAUAAUUAAAGAUAUCUUUAAUUAUUUGAGUUUAUGUUAAUUUGGCUCCCCAUAUAAUCGAAUAUAUCAAUAAUAAAAAAAACAAUUAUCUAAAUACCGCAACGAAUGUUCAGUAAUCUAUAUACAGUGUGUUUCAAUUUUCAAUGUAUCACUUCGUUUGUAUUGCUAAUAUACCCUUAUUGCGGGGAUAAGUACUUUUCACUUGCUUUCUUUAUAAAAAAAAAAAUACAUAAGCUAUUUUUUGUUUUGAACAUUUUAAAAUAAUUAAUAUAUACAACGUAAUUUUAUAAGAGUGUGCUUUUAAAAAUAACUAGAAUAACUUUUUAAGUGUGUGGGUUUUUGUUUUUUUUUGUAUUUACAAAUAACUAAAAUACGAUCGUAUAUAUAUAUAUAUGUGUGUGUGUGUAAAACUUAUACGGUACCAAUUUUGAUGCACCAGAUGCGCAUUUCGACAAAUAAUGUCUCUUCAGUGAUGCUCAACCGAAAUGUUUCCGAAAUAACUAUGAAGUUUGAGAUCUAAAUAUAGCCAAAAACAGCGUGCCAAACAAGUGGAGCCAAAUUCCUCCAAGGAUAAGAGCUAUGCAUGAGGGAGAUAAUCCUUAAUUUUGAAAUGAAUUUCUAAAUUUUAUAACAGCAAUUAAAUAUACAUCCGUAUUUUCAAGCUAGUAACGAAGUACUUAGCUACUGGGUUGUAGAUACCCUCUGGGACUAACAGUCCACCAGCAGAGGCCUCGACCCAGGGGUCAUAAUGUAAAACUUAUACGGUACCAAUUUUGAUGCACCAGAUGUGCAUUUCGACAAAUAAUGUCUCUUCAGUGAUGCUCAACCGAAAAGGAUACCAAAAAGAACAACAAUGUGCCUUUCGUCGUCACACACAAUCCAAGGAAUCACAAUAUCUCAAAUACAGCUACACGAUUUUUCCAAUUUUGGAACAAUCCAACAAUAUGAAAAAUUUGGUGAAUUCGUCUCAAAUUAUUAACAGCCAACGUCAGGCACCAUGCUUAAAAAACUACUAACUAGAGCCAAUAUCUCCCUGAUUAAGGUCAAAUACGUCAAAAAAUGUGGUGACUAACGCUGUGGGACGUGCGAAUACAUAGAAGAGGGUGAUUCCAUUACUUUUAAAUCCGGGAAAAUAUUGAAAGUCAAUGCCAACAUGAACUGUAAAUCUGAGAAUCUUAUUUAUUGUGCCACUUGCCCAACUUGUGGAGAAAACUACAUAGGACAAACGAACAAAAUUGAUGCGCGAGUGAGGGUGCAUAAACAACAAAUGAAAGAUCCUAGUGUGCGGAACACCCCAUGUAGUGAACAUUUUGCGGAAUGCGAGGGUGGUAAAUUUAAAGUGUUCCCGUUCAUUAAAAUGUGGACUGAAAAUGAAAUAACUCGAAAAGCCAAAAGGGACUAUUUUAUUAAACUUUUUAAUCCAAGCCUUAAUAGAAAAUAAUUAUUUGAAAAAUUGAACUACAAUUUAGCAUAAUAUUUUUACAAAAUAUGUGGGAAUUAUAGACAAUUAGCAAACGCUACCUGUCAACGUUAUUAUGACGUCAUAAAGGACUCGUUUAAUUGAGGUCAUAACAAAAACGUUGCUAAACAACUUUUGUAUAUUUGAACUGCCUGAUGAUUCAUGUAGACAUGGAGAAAGCGCUAGAAGUAAAUUAUUGUUUUUAGCUCUUUUGAGCCAAAGGCUCAAAAAGCUAAUCAAUACGGCCAUAUGUCUGGCGUGCGGUGUGUGGUGUGCUGUGUGCGUCAACUUUUUGGAAAAAGGACUAUAUCUCAAGAACCCCUUGGUCACUUUUUGUCAAAGAACAUGACCCACGAACCAUGAAAAAUGGCCUAGCCUAGGAUAUUGAUAAUUUCUGUAUAUAAUAAUCUUCGGGAUAUAGGCUUUCUAGAAAUGUUUUUCUUUUUUUCAUAUAUUCUAUACUUUUUUGUUAAUAUGACGUUGAAUAUUGUGGUAUUUAAUGUUAAAAAAUUAACAUUUCGGGAUACACGUCACAACAAUAAACCUCCAAUGACCAUGUACAAUGUAUAUGAAUCUAUAAAUCUCUGAAUAUUUCAAGUUAUAUGCACUCAAAUAGCUAGAAUGGCUUAUUCAAUGAUCAUAAUAAGCAUUUUUGACCAAAUUUGGGAAAUAGAAAUAAGAAAUAUUUUGGAAAUGAUGUUCAAAGCCGUGAUUGUUCAACUUUACUUUUCAAUUAUUUUUACUUGAAUUUUAAAAUACUGAAAUAAGGAGAAUAAAUAUAGCAUGUAGUCUAUUUACAUGGUGAAAGAAGUGAAUCAUUGGAACAAUUCUGUUUCAUAUGAUAUUCCAUAGUUUUUGUUUUUUUUUUAGUUUUUUUUUUUUUUUUUUUUUUUUUUGGUAUUAAAACGACCGAGUAUCGAUAUCAAUGGUAACGAAAUAAGUUGACACCGCGUCUAGUCAAAACAUGUUCAAUUCGAAUUUACUCGGAAUUACACGUUCAACGAGCAUUUCCUGUGAAACCUGAUUAAAGGAAAAUUACUGUAGAUACCUAAUAGUGAUUUGUACAGAAGCGAGCCCCGGCAGGAAUGAUGGCCUCUUUUGAAAUGAAGAAUUCAUGCCUUACUCCUACUGGGACUACAACUAACUUUGGACCUGCUCACUCGCAGAUACAACAUGAAGUGUGCCCUCUUGAUGUACAUGGGAAUGGGAGUGAUACAGAAGGGGGACUAAUUGGAAGAACUGCUGCUGCUGCUGCUGCUGCUGGUGGUGCUGGACUGUCUUGAAUCUGUGGCCUAACCGAGUUGAUAUUCAUCUGUUUAAUAUGGGAGCAACACACACACUCUGGCAUCUAUUGCACAGAAAAUCAUAAUCAGAUGGUGUCCUCCCUAUCAGAGUGGCGAUCGCUGUCCUAUAUUUCUUUGAAAUCCUGGAUCUGUGUUUUGGUUUUACUCUCCAUGGACAAUUGAAACAGAGAAAGAAUUUGGGACCACUCCUUGGCAUAUCUGAAAUAUUUAUGUCAUAUACUUAUGUAACUGAAAUUAUACAAUUUGGGUUGGAUGAAAAUCUUCAUGUUAAAACCCAUUAGCCUAGGUUAUUUUUCCUAAAAUCUAAUUAUAAAUCAAUUAACUUGUUAAUUAAUGCUUGGUGAAUCAAUUAAUAAAUUGUAUUCAAAAACUUGGAAUUAUUUUUUUCCACUAAUAAACUGAAAAUGUGUAUCUUCAAA